AUUGAACGCUGGCGGCAGGCCUAACACAUGCAAGUCGAGCGAGCGGCGGACGGGUGAGGAAUGUCUGGGAAACUGCCUGAUGGAGGGGGCUAACUACUGGAAACGGUAGCUAAUACCGCAUACCAUCAGAUGUGCCCAGAUGGGAUUAGCUGGUUGGGGGGGUAACGGCUAACCAAGGCGACGAUCCCUAGCUGGUCUGAGAGGAUGACCAGCCACACUGGAACUGAGACACGGUCCAGACUCCUACGGGAGGCAGCAGUGGGGAAUAUUGCACAAGGGGCGAAAGCCUGAUGCAGCCAUGCCGCGUGUGUGAAGAAGGCCUUCGGGUUGUAAAGCACUUUAAGCGGGGAGGCGUUACCCGCAGAAGAAGCACCGGCUAACUCCGUGCCAGCAGCCGCGGUAAUUC
rnacentral:rRNA from 1 species